rnacentral:rRNA from 1 species
CAUUAAAGAGUAAGGGUGCUCAGCGCCCGACCUCCAACCCUUUGUUGUUAAAACUACCUUGUUGCUUUGGCGGGACCGCUCGGUCUCGAGCCGCUGGGGAUUCGUCCCAGGCGAGCGCCCGCCAGAGUUAAACCAAACUCUUGUUAUUUAACCGGUCGUCUGAGUUAAAAUUUUGAAUAAAUCAAAACUUUCAACAACGGAUCUCUUGGUUCUCGCAUCGAUGAAGAACGCAGCGAAAUGCGAUAAGUAAUGUGAAUUGCAGAAUUCAGUGAAUCAUCGAAUCUUUGAACGCACAUUGCGCCCCUUGGUAUUCCGAGGGGCAUGCCUGUUCGAGCGUCAUUACACCACUCAAGCUAUGCUUGGUAUUGGGCGUCGUCCUUAGUUGGGCGCGCCUUAAAGACCUCGGCGAGGCCACUCCGGCUUUAGGCGUAGUAGAAUUUAUUCGAACGUCUGUCAAAGGAGAGGAACUCUGCCGACUGAAACCUUUAUUUUUCUAGGUUGACCUCGGAUCAGGUAGGGAUACCCGCUGAACUUAAGCAUAUCAAUAAGCGGAGGAAAAGAAACCAACAGGGAUUGCCCUAGUAACGGCGAGUGAAGCGGCAACAGCUCAAAUUUGAAAGCUAGCCUUCGGGUUCGCAUUGUAAUUUGUAGAGGAUGAUUUGGGGAAGCCGCCUGUCUAAGUUCCUUGGAACAGGACGUCAUAGAGGGUGAGAAUCCCGUAUGUGACAGGAAUGGCACCCUAUGUAAAUCUCCUUCGAC